rnacentral:rRNA from 1 species
ACUCCUACGGGAGGCAGCAGUAGGAAUAUUGGUCAAUGGGUGAGAGCCUGAACCAGCCAUGCCGCGUGCAGGAAGACGGCCUUCUGGGUUGUAAACUGCUUUUACCAGGGGAUAAAACGACUCUGCGGAGUUAAUUGAAGGUACCUGGAGAAUAAGCACCGGCUAACUACGUGCCAGCAGCCGCGGUAAUACGUAGGGUGCGAGCGUUAAUCGGAAUUACUGGCGUAAAGCGCAUGCAGGCGGCCUGUUAAGUCAGAUGUGAAAGCCCGGGGCUUAACCUCGGAAUUGCAUUUGAAACUGGCAGACUAGAGUACUGUAGAGGGGGUAGAAUUUCAUGUGUAGCGGUGAAAUGCAGUAGAGAUCUGAAGGAAUACCGGUGGCGAAGGCGGCCCCCUGGACCAGAUACUGACACUCAGAUGCGAAAGCGUGGGGCAGCAAACAGGAUUAGGAAACCCAUGGUAGGCUCCUGC